UGGAGUGUAGCUUAAAGGUGAAGCAUUCGGCUGUUAACCGAAAGAUUGCUGGUUCAAGUCCAGCCAUUCCAGCCA
rnacentral:tRNA from 1 species